rnacentral:rRNA from 1 species
GACGAACGCUGGCGGCGUGCUUAACACAUGCAAGUCGAACGGAAAGGCCCUGCUUGCAGGGUACUCGAGUGGCGAACGGGUGAGUAACACGUGGGUGAUCUGCCCUGCACUUCGGGAUAAGCCUGGGAAACUGGGUCUAAUACCGGGUAGGAGCCAUUUUUAGUGUGAUGGUUGGAAAGUUUUUUCGGUGUAGGAUGAGCUCGCGGCCUAUCAGCUUGUUGGUGGGGUAAUGGCCUACCAAGGCGGCGACGGGUAGCCGGCCUGAGAGGGUGGACGGCCACAUUGGGACUGAGAUACGGCCCAGACUCCUACGGGAGGCAGCAGUGGGGAAUAUUGCACAAUGGGCGCAAGCCUGAUGCAGCGACGCCGCGUGGGGGAUGACGGCCUUCGGGUUGUAAACUCCUUUCGCUAGGGACGAAGCUUUUGUGACGGUACCUAGAUAAGAAGCACCGGCUAACUACGUG